UCGGGAAUUUUGGGCAAUGGGCGAAAGCCUGACCCAGCAACGCCGCGUGAAGGAUGAAGUAUUUCGGUAUGUAAACUUCGAAAGAAUAGGAAGAAUAAAUGACGGUACUAUUUAUAAGGUCCGGCUAACUACGUGCCAGCAGCCGCGGUAAUACGUAGGGACCAAGCGUUGUUCGGAUUUACUGGGCGUAAAGGGUGCGUAGGCGGCAUAUCAAGUCACUUGUGAAAUCUCCGGGCUUAACUCGGAACUGCCAAGUGAUACUGAUGUGCUAGAGUGCAGAAGGGGCAAUCGGAAUUCUUGGUGUAGCGGUGAAAUGCGUAGAUAUCAAGAGGGACACCUGAGGUGAAGACGGGUUGCUGGGCUGACACUGACGCUGAGGCGCGAAAGCCAGGGAAGCAAACGGGAUUAGAUACCCCAGUAGUCCCUGAGCGGGCUGGCAAGGCGCAU
rnacentral:rRNA from 1 species